rfam:Salmo salar isolate Sally breed double haploid chromosome ssa18, whole genome shotgun sequence.
UGGCUCAGUUGGUAGAGCAUGGUGUGUGCAACGCCAGAGUUGUGGGUUCGAUUCCCAC